AAGUCGUAACAAGGUUUCCGUAGGUGAACCUGCGGAAGGAUCAUUAACACGUAUCCUACGUUAAUCCCCCGUGCACGUUGACCACCGUUGAACGAUCUUCUUUUGAUCUUUGAAAUUGUGACCAGGAACGUAACCCGAACAACUGUUAACAAUGGAUAUCUUGGUUCUC
rnacentral:misc_RNA from 1 species